CUGAGAGGAUGACCAGCCACACUGGAACUGAGACACGGUCCAGACUCCUACGGGAGGCAGCAGUGGGGAAUAUUGCACAAUGGGCGCAAGCCUGAUGCAGCCAUGCCGCGUGUAUGAAGAAGGCCUUCGGGUUGUAAAGUACUUUCAGCGGGGAGGAAGGGAGUAAAGUUAAUACCUUUGCUCAUUGACGUUACCCGCAGAAGAAGCACCGGCUAACUCCGUGCCAGCAGCCGCGGUAAUACGGAGGGUGCAAGCGUUAAUCGGAAUUACUGGGCGUAAAGCGCACGCAGGCGGUUUGUUAAGUCAGAUGUGAAAUCCCCGGGCUCAACCUGGGAACUGCAUCUGAUACUGGCAAGCUUGAGUCUCGUAGAGGGGGGUAGAAUUCCAGGUGUAGCGGUGAAAU
rnacentral:rRNA from 3 species